rnacentral:rRNA from 1 species
GACGAACGCUGGCGGCGUGCUUAACACAUGCAAGUCGUACGGUAAGGCCCUUUCGGGGGUACACGAGUGGCGAACGGGUGAGUAACACGUGAGUAACCUGCCCACAACUUUGGGAUAACGCUAGGAAACUGGUGCUAAUACUGUAUAUGUGCUCCUGCUGCAUGGUGGGGGUUGGAAAGCUCCGGCGGUUGUGGAUGGACUCGCGGCCUAUCAGCUUGUUGGUGGGGUAGUGGCCUACCAAGGCGGCGACGGGUAGCCGGCCUGAGAGGGUGACCGGCCACAGUGGGACUGAGAGACGGCCCAGACUCCUACGGGAGGCAGCAGUGGGGAAUAUUGCACAAUGGGCGCAAGCCUGAUGCAGCAACGCCGCGGGCGGGAUGACGGCCUUCGGGUUGUAAACCGCGUUCAGCAGGGACGAAGCUUUUUGUGACGGUACCUGCAGAAGAAGCACCGGCUAACUACGUG